CUUCGCUGACUCUCUUUUCGGACUCAGCCCGCCUGCACCCAGGUGAAAUAAACAGCCUUGUUGCUCACACAAAGCCUGUUUGGUGGUCUCAUCUCACGGACGUGCAUGAAAGAAGGGAAUGGAAGGCUUCUACCAAGUCCCUACAUGAUCAGGAACAAGAUAAUACAGGGAUGAAGAAGCCAGACAUCUGAUCCCAAAGAGCCAACAGAAAGGAAUGGAGAGAGAAAUGGUCAUCCCCUCAAAGGAAGGACAAGUUUGGAAUUCUGUGGUUAUUUCUGCCUGGUUGGGACUGAAUGAUGUGAGCUGAUGGUCACCAAGGAAAUCUUUACAGGGAGGUAAUGAAUUGGGAAAUAAGACAAGAACUAAGGCAGACAAGAAAUCUAAGUAUCACCUACAUAAUCGAUAGAGAUUGAUUGUUCACAUCACUUGUGAUCUCAAGCGAUCUCUAUGGAAUCAGUUGCAUUAUCUGCCACAAAUCAUCAUGUCAGCAGGGUUUUCAUUCUCAGUCAAAAUUACAGACUUCUUACCUAUUUGUGGGGAAAGUGAACACAGGAGUGUGCUGAUGAGUUUCAAAGCUGAACACAUUGAUUCAUUUCCAGGGAAGAAAAAGCAGCUACCUGGUGAUUACCACAGAGGGGAUUUCGAUCAGCAUGGUGAGAGGAGUGAUUGCAUUUCCUCCGCAUCCACUCAGUCUUCCCUUUGGCUUUUGAGAUAUGCAGAGGACUGAAAGGGCACAUGGGAGCACACACUUCCCAGUUGUUUUGUGGAGACAUGUGACGAAUUCUGGCCAAUAAGCUAUACUAUGAAACUCUGUGAAGCAAGGAUUAGAAAAAAGAUUCAAAAUACAUUCCGAGGAGCAGAUCUUUCUGUGGUAACACUGCAUUCCAAAUGUGCGAAAAAGACAGGGAAAAACAUGAACUGCAAUAAAUUACGGCUAAAAAACUCAGUAUCUAGCAAAGAAUUAUGUGCAAAUGUC
rnacentral:lncRNA from 1 species